rnacentral:rRNA from 1 species
UAAGGGCGCACGGUGGAUGCCUUGGCACUAGAAGCCGAUGAAGGACGUUACUAACGACGAUAUGCUUUGGGGAGCUGUAAGUAAGCUUUGAUCCAGAGAUUUCCGAAUGGGGAAACCCAGCAUGAGUUAUGUCAUGUUAUCGAUAUGUGAAUACAUAGCAUAUCAGAAGGCACACCCGGAGAACUGAAACAUCUUAGUACCCGGAGGAAGAGAAAGAAAAUUCGAUUCCCUUAGUAGCGGCGAGCGAAACGGGAAGAGCCCAAACCAACAAGCUUGCUUGUUGGGGUUGUAGGACACUCUAUACGGAGUUACAAAGGACGACAUUAGACGAAUCAUCUGGAAAGAUGAAUCAAAGAAGGUAAUAAUCCUGUAGUCGAAAAUGUUGUCUCUCUUGAGUGGAUCCUGAGUACGACGGAGCACGUGAAAUUCCGUCGGAAUCUGGGAGGACCAUCUCCUAAGGCUAAAUACUCUCUAGUGACCGAUAGUGAACCAGUACCGUGAGGGAAAGGUGAAAAGCACCCCGGAAGGGGAGUGAAAUAGAACCUGAAACCGUGUGCUUACAAGUAGUCAGAGCCCGUUAAUGGGUGAUGGCGUGCCUUUUGUAGAAUGAACCGGCGAGUUACGAUUUGAUGCAAGGUUA